rnacentral:rRNA from 1 species
GACGAACGCUGGCGGCGUGCCUAAUACAUGCAAGUAGAACGCACAGUUUAUACCGUAGCUUGCUACACCAUAGACUGUGAGUUGCGAACGGGUGAGUAACGCGUAGGUAACCUGCCUGGUAGCGGGGGAUAACUAUUGGAAACGAUAGCUAAUACCGCAUAAUAUUAAUUAUUGCAUGAUAAUUAAUUGAAAGGUGCAAUUGCACCACUACCAGAUGGACCUGCGUUGUAUUAGCUAGUAGGUGAGGUAACGGCUCACCUAGGCGACGAUACAUAGCCGACCUGAGAGGGUGAUCGGCCACACUGGGACGGAGACACGGCCCAGACUCCUACGGGAGGCAGCAGUAGGGAAUCUUCGGCAAUGGACGAAAGUCUGACCGAGCAACGCCGCGGGAGUGAAGAAGGUUUUCGGAUCGUAAAGCUCUGUUGUAAGAGAAGAACGGGUGUGAGAGUGGAAAGUUCACACUGUGACGGUAUCUUACCAGAAAGGGACGGCUAACUACGUG